GUGCGGAGGGUGCAGGCCGCGGCGGCGCCCAUCUUCGUGGAUGACGGGGACGGGGACGGCGUCGUCAGGAGAUCUCGUCGGGGCGUAGCAUGGGGCAGCCGGCGGGAGGCCUUGUCAGGGCAGAGGUGGGGCGGGGGCGGCAUGCGGAGCUCUAGGAGCACCUACUGUUGCUCAUCGGGGCGGGGAAAGGCAGCGGGGAGGUCCGCAGGGGCGAGGCGCAGCGGCCGGCGGCAUGGCGUCGGCGGUGGUACAGUCCCGUGGUCGAAAUCG
rnacentral:lncRNA from 1 species